ensembl:lncRNA
UGUUCCACCCACAGUUGCUCUAAAAUCGCUGCAGCUGCCUCUAGUUGCCUCCAGAUGGCGACCUAGUGCCCAUUCUCAGCUCAGAGACCCGCCGGUUGCCAGCUGCUGGGCUGAAAGAGCUCGGAGCGCCAGGGCUUAACCCGGCACAGCUCUGAGGUGGGUUUCUGGAGGAUUCGGGGAGACAGCUGCAACAAGGCACCACUCACUGCACAGUAUAAGUAUUUUCAUUUCUGAGAGCAAAGCGAAGAACUUAAGCGGGCGGCACUUGGAGUGUAAAUUGCUUUGUAGUGUUUAAAAGCAGCACGGAUCGUGGGCAGCCGAGCUGAACGUCUGAGAAAUUUCAUGAACACCAAACCAGCACUCCAAACAAUUUUAAGCAAUAAUCCUAGAAAAAGACAAUGAAAGUCACAACUCCAUGAGGCCCAACAGAGGGAAGCCACCAGGCAAGGUUUGAAAGCUCCACUCAUUUCCAGGGUAUUUACAUCAGUAACUCACCUAGCCCUACUUCAUCUGGAACUCUAGCAGAAUGUUGAACAAAAGAGAGAUCAGUGGAAAGGAAAAAGAAAGGAGAAGUACGAAGAAGACAGACUGUUGCCAGGGAAAGUAAAAUGUUCAUUUUACUCAAAGGCUUCUUUGCUGGGACAGAACACUUUUGGAGGCCCGGGUGAGACCUCUCCACCACCGUGGGUUGGUGUCCCACUAUGUCUCCUGGUGUGAGCAGCAGGGUGUAGGGGAGGUGCCCCCUGAGAAGUUCCAGGGCCCCACAUCCCAGAUGCUGGUGGGAGGGACAUGGAAGGACCACCAAUCAAGACAAAAAUUUUGGAGUCCUCAGGAAUCCUCCACUUGAAGGUGGCUGGGAUCCCCAGCUGGAUUCAUCACACCUGAGUGACGGCCUCUCCAGAACUGUGGACUCUUGAGAUAGAACCUCAGCCACUUAAGACUUAAAAGACUAAAAUGAUUCUCCUCCUUCUGUUCUUGAUUUGCCCCUGUUACUGUUUGGACAUUUGCCUAGGCUCAGGCCAUGGGUUUAAGUUCCUUCUGUCUUCUUUUUUUUUUUUGUACCGGGGAUCAAACUCAGGAUGUUGUGCUUGUGAAGCAGGUGAAGGUACCACUGAGCUAAAUCCCUGGCCCUCCUUCUGUCUUCUAAGGAGAAUGGUUUUAAAAAAAAAAAAUGUUUAAUUGGUCCCCAUGGCUCACAGCAUUGAUUUCUUUUAUUGCAGGCCCUCUUGUUCUUAUCCUGCUUGGGCUCAUGAUACCCUUAUAUAUAAUCAACCGCUUAGUUGAGUUUGUACAAGAUUGUAUCUCCUCUGUAAAGUUAAUCGUGUUAAGGUCUUCUUAUAACCUCCUUGAAACUGAUGAAGAGUCAACAGUUUCACUCGAUUUCCAAAGAAAGUGGGGAAUGAAGUUAGUAAGUUAACAAGAAACCCCCCUCCAAAUAGCCUGUGCCUGAACUUUACCCCUUUUCCUCUCCAGAUUGUUCAAAGUGGUUAAUUAACCAGCACCUAACUUGUCUUGUGGUUAAGAACAAAGGACAGGACAUGUUAUACUUAGCCAUAAUCAUAGAGAUAGAAAUUUCCUGCCAGAUCCCCCAAAUUGAAUUUUAAUCUAACCUGCAACCUGCUUCUGUACCCCUGUGCUUGCUCAAAGAGGAGAUAGUGACAUUUCAUUGUGUGAUUUUUCCCUUUAAAAACUGGGUUUACUGCUUGAUUGGUAUGAAGAAAAUGGGAGCUUAACCUCCUCCUUUGUCACUGGGUAAUUAAAGGAAUUUUAAUGUGGACAUUUUCCUGGUGUGGUCUUUUUUGCUGGGACAGCUAUAACACUGUCACAUUAGUGAUUAAGUUUCGAUUUGUGAAUGUUGAAGAGGCACGAAAUGUAACUGGACAGGGUCCUAGGAGGUUUACAAAUGAUGAUCCCCACCUAUCUGUGGAGUUAUUGCAGGUUUGCUGACUCCUAUCAUGGAAAAAGAAUUUUCAGGAUGCUUCAGGAAGAGGCACAGAGGAAUUUAUUAGGCAGAAAUUGAAAAGUCUCCACUCAGAGGUAGAGUAUAGAUUCUCAAGACAGAAAGCCAUGCUACAAUUCAAAGUUGGGAAUAUUAAUGUGUUUUUGCUGAUGGAAAUUUGGAAUUUGUGAAUGUAUAGGAAGUUUCCUUUUGGGUCUAGGGAAAAGGAUGCCUGACCCAUAGAAAGACAAUGGUUUAUUCUGG